AUACGGAGGAUCCGAGCGUUAUCCGGAUUUAUUGGGUUUAAAGGGUGCGCAGGCGGGAGAUUAAGUCGGCGGUGAAAUUUUGCAGCUCAACUGUAAAAGGGCCUUCGAAACUGGUUUCCUUGAGUGUAGAUGAAGGAGGCGGAAUUUGUGGUGUAGCGGGGAAAUGCAUAGAUAUCACGAGGAACUCCGAUUGCGCAGGCAGCUUACUAAACUACUACUGACGCUCAGGCACGAAGGCGUGGGGAUCAAACAGGAUUAGAUACCCUGGUAGUCCACGCAGUAAACGAUGAUUACUAGCUGUUUGCGAUACAAUGUAAGCGGCUGAGCGAAAGCGUUAAGUAAUCCACCUGGGGAGUACGUUCGCAAGAAUGAAACUCAAAUGAAUGGACGGGG
rnacentral:rRNA from 1 species